AUGGCGACCGGCGCACGGGUGAGUAACACGUAUCCAACCUGCCAAUAACUCGGGGAUAGCCAUUCGAAAGAAAGAUUAAUACCCGAUGGUAUAAUCAGACCGCAUGGUUUGAUUAUUAAAGAAUUUCGGUUAUCGAUGGGGAUGCGUUCCAUUAGGCAGUUGGUGAGGUAACGGCUCACCAAACCUUCGAUGGAUAGGGGUUCUGAGAGGAAGGUCCCCCACAUUGGAACUGAGACACGGUCCAA
rnacentral:rRNA from 1 species